rnacentral:rRNA from 1 species
UACAGAGGUCCCAAGCGUUGUUCGGAUUCACUGGGCGUAAAGGGUGCGUAGGUGGUGAGGUAAGUCGGAUGUGAAAGCUCGGAGCUCAACUCCGAAAUGGCAUUGGAAACUACCUUGCUCGAGGGUUGGAGGGGGACUGGAAUACUUGGUGUAGCAGUGAAAUGCGUAGAUAUCAAGUGGAACACCAGUGGCGAAGGCGAGUCCCUGGACAACUCCUGACACUGAGGCACGAAAGCUAGGGGAGCAAACAGG